rnacentral:lncRNA from 1 species
CCUUUUGGCGUUUUGUCUCUCUUUUGAAGAAGGAAGUUGGAACUUGUAGCGUGUCGUUCUCAGAGGAGGCUGACAUUUACCUUCGUAUGUUGUCUUUUCGCUCGUGUUGUUUUCUUUUAGGAAAAAUAGUGGCUUUGCAAAGGACGUCCGCGUUGGGGGAGAAGAGGUGGAAGAAGAAGAGAUCUUUUUUAGCUCCUACUUCCACUGUCCCAAUUCAUGUUGUUCGAUUGAAAAAGAAGGAGGUGUUCGUGGGACUACAAAUCGAGUGAGGGUGCCUCAUGAGGACUAAGAUGUAGAAGAGCUUUUUGAGGACGACCUUAACGUCCGAUAGAAGCGUCCAAGGUCAAUCACAUGCGACCAAGAUCAAGGGGUCGUUGAGUUGGUUAUUGCCUUCUUUACUGUCGUUUGGUCGAAUUAAAGCUCUGUAAUCCUUUAUGUUUAGCCGUUGGAUCUGGCGGUUUUUAGGGACCUAGGAUCCGACGAUAAUAAGAAAGCGCAUAUGGCAGACUUAGGAAGAUUGGUUAUGAGACUAAGAUCGUUUACUUUUCAGGGAAAGUUGAGACCUUCGUUGGUUUGAUGAUGGAAAACAGUCAGUUGAAAGAAGAGGUUGACAAGUUAACAUGGGACAACGAAAUGCUUAUUCUGCUCCAAUAAUUCCAUAUGUGGAAGAACAGAAACCUUGACAUAGAGCUGAGAAAGCUAUAAAGUCUUGUCGUUGAAGGGAGACGUGGAUAGACUAAAUCUUGCAGAGGAUGAUAACAUGAAGUUAAUAACAAUUUGGAAGAUGAAUUCUUGAAGGUUGGAGAAUAUUCUUUUGACAACACCAUUGCCCAAGUAUGUGUCUUGGAUCAUAGGGUUGUUCUUAACUUGGAAGAGCUAGAUUGAGCUAAAAUUGUUGUGGAUGGAAAGAUUUUCCAACCGAUUCCUCUUGUCGCCAAAGAUAAUUAAAUUUAUCUUUGUACAGUUGGUUGUGACUUAUUUGGUUGAAGUCUUGGUCCUAUUGUAGUCGAGUAAGCACAAUACUUAAUUUCUCUUUCUGUCCAUAUAUAUCUUAUUUUGUAUGAAUGCAUCUGCUUGCUUUAUUUCUUGAAGAUUUGUCUUAGUGUUUUUGCCCAUCUACAUUAGUUUAGAUAUUCAUUUGGGCGUUCUCACUUGACUGCACCAGUUUGUGUUAACAUGUCUAUGCAUACUAACUUGGAAUUGAUUAUGUGUUUAUACUCGUAUGUGUGAGUUUAUGCAUUUGUGCACAUUAACUUUGAAUUUUUGUGUUUGAGCAAUGUCGUGCUAGAUAUCUUUGUUCUAACUAACAUUAGUAUCUUUUCAACUUGGAUGCGUUCCAAGUUCGAGGAACAUGGUCGUCAUAAAGGGUUUCUAGGGUAUCAACGCCCUUAUGGUUUUGGUAACAAUUCAAUAUAGGUCUUCCUAAUUAGGCAAUUCCUUUCCUUGGUCGUUUGCUUGAAGUUUUUUAUGUAGUACAAUGUCUUUUUCUUCAAAGUCGUGUCAAAUAAAUUUUUGGUUGUAUUUUAUGGCCAUAUUUUGCUUGAUGGUGAGCUCUUUCAUGGUAGUUAUGUGGGUAACUUCGUCAAUGAAAUUGAGUGCAAUGAACAUGUCACUCUCAUUUGCUUAGGGGUAUAGUGGAUAUGCAUCCCUCCCGCAUAAUUCCCCGAGUUCAAAAGAAACGACAUCCUUAACUCCAUAUGUUAGUUGGAAUAAGGUUUCUCUCGUGGUAGAGUGAGGUGUUGUUUGAUAAGCCCACAAGACGGCACAGAGAUCAUCGUUCCAUCAUCCCUUAGCCUUGUCCAACCUUCAUUUUAGUCAUCUGAGGAUGACACGAUUUGUGGCUUUUACUGGCCUAUUCAGUUGCGGGUGUUUGACAAAUGGUGUUGUUUUACUCCCAACUCAAUGAGAAGUUAUGUGAAUUUUCUAUUGGAGAACUAGGUGUUGUUUUCGGUUAUGAUGACUUGGGGAAUACCGUAGCUGUUUAGUAUGUUUUUCUUGAAGAAUCUUGUCACAUUCACUACUGCGAUCCUUGUUAGUGGUUCCGCUUCAAUCCUUUUGGUGAAAUAGUUGAAAACCACUUUUAGGAAUUUUAGUUGUCCGAGUUCUAAUAGGAAAGGUUCAAGUAUAUCCAUCCUCCACCAUGUAAAGGGUGAGGGCGAGGUGAGCGCAGUGAGUUCCAAUGAUGGCGGUCACCAUGUCGCUAACAUUUGUUUCAUUUUUGCACGUAGGAUUUGGCAUCUUCUUCGAUAGUUGGCUAGUAGUAUAUGACACGUAAGACUCUUUUGGUGAGGUUUCUACCUUCUAGGUAGUGUCUGCAUAUACCUUUAUGCAUUUCUCUUUUCACAUACUCGACAUCCUCAUCGAUUAGGCACUUUAAUAAGAGGGAUGACAUGUCAUUUUUGUACAGUGUCCCUACGAUGAGUAAGUAAGAGUAUCAUCAAUGUUUUACCUUGGCAGCCUCGAUCUUGUUGAGGGGGUGUAUUGCAUUGAGGAUGUAUUAUGUGAUCGGCGUCAUCCAAUUAUGCUAAGGAAGGGGGUCCCAUGAGCUCGGUUGUCAUGACAGAUUCACUUAUGCUAGGAAAGUGGAUGAAUUCCUGAAUAAUGAAUUUGUUGCCCCCUUUGUCCCUCAUGCUAGCUAUGGUCAGCAGGACAUCAACUCUCAUGUUUUGUUCUCGAGGAAUGUGCUUGACCGUAAUUUUUUCGAACUUAAUCAUUAUUUCCUUUACUUCCAUGAGGUACCUUUGUAGAAUUUUAUCUUUUUCUUUGUAAUCUCCAUUGGUUUGGGAGAGAAGAGUUGUGAUUCUAUGUUCAACGUAACCUCCUCAACACCAAGUUCAUGCGUCAGUGUAAACCAUCAAGGCAGGUCUCACAUUAUGUUUGGUUGUUAGAUGUUGGGAACGAAAAAGUAAGGGAGGAUUCAAUAAUAAAACCUUCGUCGUUUUUUAGUAGGAUACUGGCUCCAUUCCAUUAGCUUCAGAGUAUCCGUCGACAACAAUGGUAAGUUUAACUUUCAGUUCAUAAGACGUUGGGGUCAUUUUGGCAAUGAAGUCGGCGAGAGCCUUUAUAGGUUUCCUUGAUUCAAAGGCGAUAUUGAACUUCAAGAGCUCCACUGACUAUUUCGUCAUUCUUCCGACGAGAUACCUUUGUUAAAUUUGGUCAUUUUCUUUGUAAUCUCCAUUGAUAUGGGAGAGAAAAGUUGUGAUUAUAUGUUCAACGUAACUUCCUCAACACCAUGUUCAUGCGUCGAUGUAAACCAUCAAGGCAAGCCUCACAUUCUGCUUGGUUGGAAGAUGUUGGAUAUGAAAAGGUAAGGGAGGAUUCAAUAGUAAAACCUUCGUCAUUUUUUUAGUAGGAUAUUGGCUCCAUUCCUUUGGUGUUGGAGUAUCCGUCGACGACAAUGGUCCACCUGACCUUCAGUUUAGAAGACAUUGGGGUAAUUUUGGCGAUGAAGUCGACGAGGGCCUUUAUAGGUUUCCUUGAUUCGAAGGAGAUAUUGAACUUUGAGAGCACCACCGACCAUUUCGUCAUCCUUCCGAAGAGAUAUGGCCUAUAGAUGUUUUUUGAAUUGGUUAGUCUAUACGAAUCACGACCAUGUGAGCUAAGAAGUAUUAUCUUAACCUCCUAGAUGCAAUGAGUAGAGCUAAAACGACUCUCCCCAACUGUUGAUGUCUGAGCUCGGGAUUGUUUAUUGGAUUAAGGUUGCACUUAAUGCUUCCGAUGAAAGAACUAGAUAUAAGUAAAUUUGUUUCUCUUGCGACAAGUCGAGAAUGUACUGGCAGAUGGGAGAUGAUCUCUUUCAAUCAAGUUAGUUGACUUUACAAUCGUUUGUCCACUAGAAUGUUGUCUAUUUCCUUAAUAAAUGUUUAGAUGGGAGAUCAUGUUGUACAAAUUUAGCUAUGAAUCAUUAUAAGGCUCCAAGCAUGCCACUAUGGAAUUGGAUUUUUCUUUUGAAUUCAGGUGUUGACAUUGCCGUGAAUAUGUGAUGUCGUGAAACAUAUCUUGACUUUUGAGGGAGGUCGUGAAACAUCUUGCUGCUUCAAUGUCGGCGUGGAUGGUGGCUACUUCUCCGCAUUUCAGGUGAUAUUUGAGUUUCUUAGUGAUAGUCAAGGCGACGAAAUAUAGCUCUGCCUACCAUUGUGGAGCGUUUGAUGAUGUAGUAGUAGAUUGAUUUGCAGUUGAUCACCAAUAACUAAGUCUUCACUAUCUUCCUAGACUUUCCCUCAUUGAAGGUCACAAGCAGUUUGACGUAAACCCAAGGAGUUCUUGUGGACCCAUUAAAACCUUGUAAAUUAGGUCUUACUUAGAGUAGCGUGUUGUCUUUGGUCUUACUCUGCCAUUGUGUUGUCUUUGUGGUCCAGCCAAUGAUUUCUUCAUCGUAGAAAGGUAGAGGGGGUUGGGACCCUUUGUUGUUUAUUUUGAUAGUAUGAGGAUUUUAGGAGGUCAUGUCUUCGAGCUUUCUCUUGAUGGAACCGAUACUAAAGAAGUUCGCAUUGGAAUAUUUGUUGGAACCAAGUUGGUUUUAUAUUUAGAGUUUUGAUGUUAACAAAAGUAUUUUAUGAGAAUGAUAUAUUUGACUUUAAAGAGUAUGAAAGAAGAUUCAUGUUUUUGAAGAAAAUCUAAAAUAAGAUUUGAUUCAAAAUUAUAAAUGAUGAAAAUCUGAAAUAAGAUUUGAUUCAAAAUUAUAAUUGAAGAAAAUAUUUGACCAAGUUGAAAAAAAGAUAUAGUCAAGAUUUGAAGAAUAUUUGACGAAGAUUUGAUCAAGAUUUGAAGAAGAUUUAAUCAAGAUUUGAAGAAUAUUUGAUCAAUAUUUGAAUAAGGUUUAAUUAAGAUUUGAAGAAGAUUUGUUCAAGAUUUAUCUACAACAAAAUAUGAAUAGAAUCAAUAUGAAGAACUUACGAACUCAAUGUACACAAAAUAAGAACAAAUCAAUAUGAAGAAUUAACAAACUCAACAUGAACAGGAUACAGAAUUAAACAAGGACUAAAUUGAAGCUCAAAUUUUCACUAUAAAUAGACACUCAAGGCUAAAGGAGAAAAACAUCGAAAAGCAGAAAAGAUUAUAAGAACUAAAGCUCAAAGUUCUAAAUUCUUCUUAGAGUUCAAAGAGAGAAACACUUGUUCAGGUUAGAAAUAUUUUCUGAGUGUUAUUUUCUUAGAGUGUGAGAGUUAUUAUUAUUAUCAACUUUGUUAGAAACAACUACUCAAGUUCCAAUCUUUUGUAUUCAACCUGUUAGUGGUUUAGUUCAUUCUUCAAUCUGGGGUUGCUAGGAGAAAACUUGACUUGUAGGGUCAAGGUGGUUAGUUCCUCAAAAGUCUGGGGUUGUCACGCUGUUUGGGAAGACUAACUUGGAGGAUCGGGUGCUUUGUAAUUCAAGGUAUUUGAAUUAGUGGAUUAAAGCCUUCUUAAUGAAGGAACUGGAUGUAGUCAAGUUUGUGGUGACCUAGGAUAAAUCUACGUGUCAAAUUAUUUAUGCUUUCUGAUGUCGUGAAACAUAUCUUGACUUUUGAGGGAGGUCGUGAAACAUCUUGCUGCUUCAAUGUCGGCGUGGAUGGUGGCUACUUCUCCGCAUUUCAGGUGAUAUUUGAGUUUCUUAGUGAUAGUCAAGGCGACGAAAUAUAGCUCUGCCUACCAUUGUGGAGCGUUUGAUGAUGUAGUAGUAGAUUGAUUUGCAGUUGAUCACCAAUAACUAAGUCUUCACUAUCUUCCUAGACUUUCCCUCAUUGAAGGUCACAAGCAGUUUGACGUAAACCCAAGGAGUUCUUGUGGACCCAUUAAAACCUUGUAAAUUAGGUCUUACUUAGAGUAGCGUGUUGUCUUUGGUCUUACUCUGCCAUUGUGUUGUCUUUGUGGUCCAGCCAAUGAUUUCUUCAUCGUAGAAAGGUAGAGGGGGUUGGGACCCUUUGUUGUUUAUUUUGAUAGUAUGAGGAUUUUAGGAGGUCAUGUCUUCGAGCUUUCUCUUGAUGGAACCGAUACUAAAGAAGUUCGCAUUGGAAUAUUUGUUGGAACCAAGUUGGUUUUAUAUUUAGAGUUUUGAUGUUAACAAAAGUAUUUUAUGAGAAUGAUAUAUUUGACUUUAAAGAGUAUGAAAGAAGAUUCAUGUUUUUGAAGAAAAUCUAAAAUAAGAUUUGAUUCAAAAUUAUAAAUGAUGAAAAUCUGAAAUAAGAUUUGAUUCAAAAUUAUAAUUGAAGAAAAUAUUUGACCAAGUUGAAAAAAAGAUAUAGUCAAGAUUUGAAGAAUAUUUGACGAAGAUUUGAUCAAGAUUUGAAGAAGAUUUAAUCAAGAUUUGAAGAAUAUUUGAUCAAUAUUUGAAUAAGGUUUAAUUAAGAUUUGAAGAAGAUUUGUUCAAGAUUUAUCUACAACAAAAUAUGAAUAGAAUCAAUAUGAAGAACUUACGAACUCAAUGUACACAAAAUAAGAACAAAUCAAUAUGAAGAAUUAACAAACUCAACAUGAACAGGAUACAGAAUUAAACAAGGACUAAAUUGAAGCUCAAAUUUUCACUAUAAAUAGACACUCAAGGCUAAAGGAGAAAAACAUCGAAAAGCAGAAAAGAUUAUAAGAACUAAAGCUCAAAGUUCUAAAUUCUUCUUAGAGUUCAAAGAGAGAAACACUUGUUCAGGUUAGAAAUAUUUUCUGAGUGUUAUUUUCUUAGAGUGUGAGAGUUAUUAUUAUUAUCAACUUUGUUAGAAACAACUACUCAAGUUCCAAUCUUUUGUAUUCAACCUGUUAGUGGUUUAGUUCAUUCUUCAAUCUGGGGUUGCUAGGAGAAAACUUGACUUGUAGGGUCAAGGUGGUUAGUUCCUCAAAAGUCUGGGGUUGUCACGCUGUUUGGGAAGACUAACUUGGAGGAUCGGGUGCUUUGUAAUUCAAGGUAUUUGAAUUAGUGGAUUAAAGCCUUCUUAAUGAAGGAACUGGAUGUAGUCAAGUUUGUGGUGACCUAGGAUAAAUCUACGUGUCAAAUUAUUUAUGCUUUCAUUGUUUGCUAUCUCUUAAUUUGAUUGCUUCUACUCCAAGUAAGUCACCAAAACCAAACUAAUUUUUUAUUUAUUUAUAAAUUAUCAAAAAGUUAUCAACUUUGACAAACACAAAUAAACCCCCCUUCUCGUGUUUGCACCUUCAAUUGGAAUCAGAGCUCGGUCUCAAGGCUGAGUGUCGCGGCCUAAAAUUUCGAGUUUUCAUCGAAUUCAAUGGAGUCGCCACCAAAAUUUAUUUUAAAAUAGGGAAAAUAUUGGAAAACCCUAAAAAAUGUAAAAAUGGUCUUUGAAACCAGAUUUUGAGUUCGGGAGUCGAUUAUGCGUAGGUAAGGUAUUAGCACCCUACGACAUCCGUUAAAAUACGGUUACCUUUAAUUAAUUGUGCAAAAUUAUAUCAACUUAAAUAUAUUUAUUUUUCUUUAUUAUUAAAUAUGAAUAUAAAUUGUUUUUUAUAAAUGUGAUUUUUGAGAUAAAAGUGUGUUAAAAAGAGUAGAAAAAAAGAAAGUUUUUAUUAGUGUGCUUGACAAGAGUAUGAUCUUGCUCCUACGUAUCUCCCGGUACGAUGGAUAAAUCAAAGCUACGUAGUUCUUGGUAGAAAAUGUGGAUGUUUUGAUUGCUUUUAAAUAAAUUGUAUUUUUGUUAUUAAAAAGUUAAAUUUGACGAACAUAAAAAAAACUUGUUUGAUUUGAAUAAUUAUUUUAAAAUAUGAAUUUUAAGACGAUCGAGUUGUACAACUCGUGUCUCAAAACUCAAGGAGUAAAAAGAUGUCACGUCUAAUUUAACGCUCUUAAUAAUAUUUUAUUAUUUUUAAAAUAGAGCUUCAAGAAGACCAAGUAGUACGACUUGUGUCUUAACAAUUUCAAGAUUAAAAACACAUCUACUUAAAUUUUAAAAGGGUUGAUUUUUAAUCUAUUCAUUUAUAAAAAUAAAUUUUAAAGCUAUCAAAAUAUAUAAUUUGUAUUAUGCAACUCAGGGAUCAAAAUGUCAUUUUUAAUUAACUUUAAAUAAUUUUUAUUAUUAAUUUGUUUAUGAUUUUUAGUUUAUGUAUUUGUGAAUAUGAGAUUUAGAACCAUCAAAUUGUCACAAUUUGUGUUCUAAUAACUCAAACAUUAAAAAGAUGUCACAUCUAGUUAAUUGUUAAUGAAAUAUUUGUUAUUAUUUUAUUUUAUUUUUUUAAAAAAAGAUAUUGAAUAUUAAACAAGUUUUAACAAAAAUUCAAAAUAAAAUUAGUAAUAAACGCGAGAAUAAAAUAGCAAAAAGAAAAAUAUAUGGACUUUAACUUAAUCUAAAAAAUAUUUUGAAACUAAUUACAAAUAUAAUCCCCUUUUAAACUAUUUUUUUUUUAAUUUAAUAAGUGAAGAAAUAAAAAUUAUUUUAAUAUUAAAUAGCACCAUCCAAAAAAGAAAAAUCUAUUAUAAUAUGAAAUAAAUUAUAUUUAUUGUCAUUUAAUUAUAUCUAUAAUUACUUAUAUUAAUUAGAAUUAUUAUGAUUAAAUGAAAUAACUAUCAUGAAGAUUUGGAAGAGAAAGAAAAAGUCCAUUGAUCACACANNNNNNNNNNNNNNNNNNNNNNNNNNNNNNNNNNNNNNNNNNNNNNNNNNNNNNNNNNNNNNNNNNNNNNNNNNNNNNNNNNNNNNNNNNNNNNNNNNNNNNNNNNNNNNNNNNNNNNNNNNNNNNNNNNNNNNNNNNNNNNNNNNNNNNNNNNNNNNNNNNNNNNNNNNNNNNNNNNNNNNNNNNNNNNNNNNNNNNNNNNNNNNNNNNNNNNNNNNNNNNNNNNNNNNNNNNNNNNNNNNNNNNNNNNNNNNNNNNNNNNNNNNNNNNNNNNNNNNNNNNNNNNNNNNNNNNNNNNNNNNNNNNNNNNNNNNNNNNNNNNNNNNNNNNNNNNNNNNNNNNUAUUAUUAUUAUUAUUAUUAUUAUUAUUAUUAUUAUUAUUAUUAUUAUUAUUAUUAUUAUUAUUAUUAUUAUUAUUAUUAUUAAAUGUAAUAGAACUAAAUAGUCAAUGUGAAAUAGUUGGCAGCCUGGCGUGAAUAUAGAUAAGGCACGCGUACGAUGCAUCAGACAAAACAGGCAAAUUUCAAAACACCAACAAACAAAUUUCAAAAGGGGCUUAGCAAAACAAGUUUCAGCAUAACAACAAACAUAUUCAAUACAUCAUAAAUUAUUCUCAGAUAUUGAACAAGAGAGCAAGGAAAAUACCCUUUUCGUGUUGUUGUUAGAAUUGGCUUGAAGGCUAUGGUUGAUGGGAAACAACAUGAUAGUAGAUCUUCCUUUCUUUUCUUUGCGGUAACACUCUCUCUUUCUAUUGUGUUUUAGAAACAGAAAAAGCAAGAAAUGAAAAAUCUCCCAAUUUUUAUCUUGUGAUUAUUUUUAUGAUCUCUCCUCCUCUUUUGUUUUUUUUUUCUUCCAAUAUAUAGGCUAAAACGAGGAAGGGUUGUGUUCAUGGUAUAAAUUAAGUUCUGGAUUUUACCCUAGUUUGGCAACCACAUUACGCAGUUAAGGAAACUAGGGGCCGAUCUUUUUUGAUUGAGUAUUCAACGUGAUAAAAUUAAUACCAUUAUUAGAUUGAAAAAUAAUAAAAUUAGAAUAAAAUGAACAGAUAGAGUGCAGAGAAAGCACGUGAGUAAGCAGUAAACAUGGUUCUGCACACGGCACACCUCACACGCGCAACAAAGCAUCUAAAGACAGAGUGAGACUUCCUUUUUUUAUUUGUUUUAUUUUGUUGUAUUUUUAAUGUAAAUAUAUUACAAUUUUUAGACAAAUAUACUUUUUAUUUGAAUUAUGGACAUGAGGUAUUACAACUGCCCCUAUUUAAUUAUCUUUUACGUGGUAAAAAAUAAUUAAAUAUAAAGACCUAAAUUUUGUAGAAAGUAAAUUAAUUUCGAAUGUAGGAGAAAAUAAAAAAUAAUUUGAAUUGUAAAAAAAAUUGAUGAUUUAAAAAAUGAAAGCUUGUAAAAGAAGUUGGUGAUUGGCAAAAAUAAAUAAAUAAAAAAUAACCAUGUUAUGAAUAAAGUGAUGAUCGUCUUCGGAUUGAUUACCCGAUGCGUAAAUCGAUAUAAAAUAAAGUGAUGAUCGUAUUCGGAUUGAUUACCGGUGCAUAGAUCGACAUAAAUAAAGGGAUGAUCGUCUUCGGAUUGAUUACCGAUGCGUAUAUCGACAUGAAUAAAGUGAUGAUCGUCUUCGAAUUGAUUACCCGAUGCGUAGAUCGAUAUAAAAUAAAGUGAUGAUCGUCUUUGGAUUGAUUAUCGAUGCGUAGAUCGACAUAAAUAAAGAGAUGAUCGUCUUCGAAUUGAUUACCGAUGUGUAGAUCGACAACAUAAAUAAAGGGAUGACUACAACAAAACAUGAGUUUAGAAGGUAAAUAAAAGGAGAUAAAUUUGUUUUUAUUUUUUUAUUUUUUGUUAAAGAAAACAUGUAUAUGGUAAUUGCAAUGCAAACGUAUAAUGAAUAAUGUGACACAAAAGCUGUUGAGUAUAAAUAAAAUAUACAUAUAAGACAUGCAUGAUUAAUUCAUUAUGCAUGAUAUAAAGAGGUUGUUGAGUAUAUGUAAAAUAUGAGUGAAAAUGCAUAAAUCAUAUAUGACUACUUGAAAAAAAUGUAAGAUGUAUGCAAUCAAGAUAGAUUCUUGUUUAUUUAUUUAUUUUAUUAUUUUUUAGUUCCCCCGACCCUUAUACGACUUUAUACAUCCACAAGAUUAAAUGAAGAUAACAAUCGUUCUUUGCAUGAUGGUUCUAAUAUAUCUUGUGUAAUCACCUUUUUUUUCGUCUUUUGAGGCCGAUCAAAUUUGCAUUGUUUAAAAUGCUUACCCUUCAUUUUUCUUAUACACCCAAUAUCUUGCGUUCCCGUGUAUAUAUUUUCAACCGUCAAAAUAUUUAAGAUAUUUUUUUUUUUUUAUAUUUUCAUAUAUUUCAAAUUCCCAUUUUUAUUUAGAACAAACAACAAUGAGACUAAAUUUGUUUAGACAGAGUGUAAGGCACAACAUCAAACAAUGAUAUUGGAAAAUGUACAUUCAUUACAUUGAAAAUAAAACAAAUGAAACAGGGGUUACAAUGUGGUGAGUGCGUUUAGCUUUAGUUGGAGAGACAACAAACUCUAGUCAUUCUUGUAAUUUAGAACCUUUAAGAAUAAUAACUGCCCCAACUUGAAAUGCUUGAUUCUUUUGUUAUCCCUAACUUUUGCAUGGACCAUUCUUCCAAGUUUUCAAUCUAUCGGGAUGCUCUAAUUUUUGCCUAGGUCGCCUUUUCAGGUUUUCAACCUAGCGAGCCCAAUUUUCUAUUUUUUUUAAGCAUAAUAUUUCUUGACUGCAUCUGAGUUUACUGGAAGUGGAAACUCAUCUCCAUCCAUUUCUGCGAGUACUAGAGCUCCCCUAGAGAAAGCUUUUUUCACAACAUAUGAUCCUUCGUAGUUCGGAGUCCACUUUCCCUGAGAAUCCGUUUUUAUGGGCAAUAUUUUUUUAACACUAAUUCUCCUUCUCGAAACUCUCGAUGACAGACUUUUUUCUCGUAGGCUUAUCGUGAUUGACCCCACCCUGCCUCUUCUAGGUUUGUUUCCAUCAGGACUUUGAUCGAGGGAAUUUCAACUUCGAUGGGAAGUACUGCUUCUAUUCCAUACACCAAUGAGAAAUGAGUUGCCCCUGUUGAGGUAUGAACAAAGGUUCUAUAGCCAUGUAAUGCAAAGGGAAGCAUUUCAUGCCAAUCCUUAUAUGUCUCCACCAUCUUCUGUAUGAUCUUCUUGAUAUUCUUAUUUGCUUCUUCUACAGCCCCAUUCAUUUUCGGACGAUAUGGAGAAGAAUUAUGGUGCUGAAUUUUGAAACUAUCACACAACUCUUUCAUCAUUUUGUUAUUCAGAUUAGUCGCGUUAUCAGUGAUUAUCUUAUUUGGCAAUCCAUAUUGACAAAUCAAUUAUUUUUUGAUGAAUUUGACAACCACACUUCUCGUCACAUUGGCAUAAGAAGCGGCUUCAACCCAUUUUAUGAAAUAAUCAAUAGCUACUAGGAUAAACCGGUGUCCAUUUGAAGCCUUAGGCUCGAUGAGUCCAAUAACAUCCAUUCCCAACAUUGAAAAUGGCCAUGGCGAUGUUAAAACAUUCAAAGAGGUGUGUGGUACAUGUAUUUUAUCUGCAUAGAUUUGACAUUUAUGACAUUUCUUUACAUGACUAAAACAGUCGGAUUCCAUGGUCAACCAAUAGUAGCCAACCCUUAAGAUUUUUCUUGCCAUCGCGUGCCCAUUUGCAUGAGUUCCAAAAGAACCUUUGUGAACCUCUUGGAUAAUUUUAUCCGCUUCUGCUUUAUCCACACAUCUGAGGAGAACCAUAUCAUGAUUUCUCUUAUAAAGCACAUCGCCAUUUAAGAAGAAAUUCAUUGACAAUCUCCUUAAAACCCUUUUGUCGUUUUCUGAAAUACCCAAUGGAUAUUCCUUAUUCUUAACAUAUGAUUUGAUGUCAUAAAACCAUGGUUUGCAAUAUGCAGGUUUAUCUCUUUGUUGAAUUUUUAUGACCGGCACGUCCUGAUUAGUGCUUACUUUGAACAUUGACGACAAAGUGGCCAAGGAGUCAGCUAAUUGGUUUUCUUCUCGAGGGAUGUGGUGAAAAGUAAUCUUCUCGAAGUGUUUUGUCAAUUCUUUGAUAUGUGUGUGAUACGAAAUCAAUUUGGAAUCUCGCGUUUCUCACUCUUCUUUCGUCUGAUGGAUGACCAACAAUGAGUCUCCAUAUACCUCAAGAAAUUUUACAUUCGAUUCGAUAGCUGCUUUAAUGCCCAUAACACAUGCCUCAUAUUUUGCAAUAUUGUUUGUACAAUCAAAACACAACCUAGCCGUAAAUGGAGUGAACUGGUUCUUUGGGGAAAUCAAAAUUGCUCCAAUUCCAUGCCCCAACGCAUUAGAGGCACCAUCAAACACCAACAUCCAUUUUUCUUUAUCAGAUGAUUCGAUCUCUUCAAAUAAAGUCAUUAUGCCUUCAUCGGGGAAUUCAUAUUGCAUUGAUUGAUAAUCUUCUACCGGUUGUUGGGCCAAAUACUCUGCUAGUGUGCCGCUUUUGAUAGAUUUUUUUUUGUAAUAUAUACCAAAUCGUAUUCUGAUAACAACAUUUGCUAGCGAGCAAUCCUUCCAGUAAGGGCAGGUUUCUCAAAGAUGUACUUAAUUGGGUCCAUUUUAGACACUUACCAAGUUGUAUGACAUAACAUGUAUUGCCUCAACCAACGAGCAGCCCAUGCCAAUGCGUAACAUAUUCGUUCAAGCAGUGAAUAUCUUGUUUCACAACUGGUGAACUUUUUGCUCAAAUAAUAAAUAGCAUGUUCUUUCCUACCAGAUUCAUCAUGUUGCCCCAGUACACAGCCCAUUGACUCGUCAAGUACUGUUAAGUACAUAAUAAGUGGUUUCCCAGGAACAUGAGGCACUAGGAUGGGAGGUUUUGAUAAGUACUGCUUAAUCUUUUUGACAAUUCUCAUUCCAUUCAACCUUUUGGUCUUUGCGCAACAAUUUGAAAAUUGGCUCGCAUGUAGCGGUGAGAUGCGAUAUAAACCUCGCAAUAUAAUUCAAUCUACCCAAAAAGCCACGAACUUCUUUUUCCCUGCGUGGAGCCGGCAUUUCUUGUAUUGCUCUUACUUUAUCUGGGUCCAUUUCUAUCCCUUUUUGACUAACGAUAAACCCAAGUAACUUGCAUGAUCUUACACCAAAGGUGCAUUUAGCAGGGUUUAAACGAAGUAUGAACUUCCUUAGUCGCUCAAAUAACUUUUGAAGGUUAACAACAUGGUCUUCUUCAGUUCGAGAUUUUGCAAUCAUAUCAUCAACGUAAACCUCUAUUUCCUUGUGCAUCAUGUCAUGAAACAAAGUUACCAUUGCCCUCUGAAAGGUUGGCCCCGCAUUCUUCAAUCCAAAUGGCAUCACUUUAUAGCAGAAAGUCCCCCAUUGUGUGAUGAAAGUAGUUCUCUCCAUAUCUUCGGGAGCCAUCUUGAUUUGUUUGUAGCCUGAGAAACCAUCCAUGAAGGAGAAAAUAGAGUAUUGAGCAGUGCUAUCCACUAGGACAUCAAUAUGAGGUAGAGGAAAAUCGUCUUUAGGACUAGCUUUAUUUAAAUCCUGAUAAUCAACGCACAUUCGAACCUUUCCAUCUUUCUUUGGAACUGGUACAAUAUUAGCCACCCAUUGAGGAUAUUUUGCUACUAUUAAGAAACCAACAUCAAAUUGCUUCUUGACCUCUUCUCUAAUUUUAAGUGACAUAUCAGGUCUCAUCCUUCUCAACUUUUGUUUAAUUGGAGUGUAUUCAGGCUUGAGUGGUAGCUUGUGUUCAACUAUGUUAGUAUCUAGCCCGGGCAUAUCUUGAUAUGACCAUGCAAAGACAUCCAGAUAAUCAAAUAAAAGUUUAACCAACUUUUGUCGUUCACUUUCUUCCAUAGACAUACCAAUUUUAACUUCUUUCUUAUCAUGCUCAGUCCCUAAAUUUAUCACCUCAACAGGUUCUUAAUAGGGUUGGAUUAUCUUAGCUUCCUGUUCAAUUAAGCUUUCUAGUUCUGGGGGAGGCUCACAAUCGUCUUCACAAUCCUCGUCAGCGUGAUUAAUUAGACGUUGAAAAUUACAAGAAAGAGUUCUAGCGCUGCUAUUUUCAACGUAUUCAUUUUCGACUCUGCAUUGUUUAAACUAAGAAGAAAAGGGAAGAAAAAAAUAUGAAUAAAGAUUGCCAAAAAAGAAAAGAAGAGAACAAAACUAGUUGGAGAAUUCAAAAUUGCAUUUAUUGAUAAUAAGUACGAAAUUGAAAUACAUAUGCCCUAAUUAGUUAUCCUUAUAGCCUUGGGCAGAGCAAAAGGAGUUAAAAAUACAUAAUUAUUUUGAACAUGAAUUAAAAAACACGAAAAACUCGAUGAUCUUCCAAUUAUUGAGACUGGUGUUUGGAGGGCAAGGGUACACUAGCUUGAGGGUAUCAUCAUCACCAUGAUCCUCUUCCGCAACAGCUACCUGAUCAGCAUAUAUUAUUUCGGGGCUUUGAAAAUUUUGGCGAAUGUCACAAAUAGAAAUCUUCUGUGAAUUCGGUAUCCAGUUUUCCAAACGAGUCAUCCUGCUUUCUCUUUUUUCCUUCGCAUCCUUUUCUUUAUCAGUUUGAGUAGGUACAUAUCCCAACCCGUACCUAUUGUUCUUUUCUGGUAUUUCUAUCAAAUUCCCCAAAUUAACAAAAACUCCUCCUUCUAACAUGGAUUUGGUAGACUUCAAUGAUGUGGUUGAUUGUUUUGGUCCUUUUAAACGAUAUCAUUCACCCAUGAAGACAACAUUGGCAAUUUCUAAUGCUUGAAAGGAAGUCUCUAUGGCUUCCUCUAUGUCUUCAAUGUAGCCUGUAGAAGAUAAAUGACUUACUAUCAUAUCUUCUUCCCCAUAUAUUAUUACCAGCUUAUUGUUCACUAUAAAUUUUAGCUUUUGAUGGAGAGUGGAUGUCACUGCUCUAGCAGCAUGAAUCCAUGGUCUCCCUAAAAAACAACUGUACGCCGGUUUAAUAUCCAUCACUUGGAAUGUUAUCUCAAAUAUAUGGGGUCCGAUAUGAAUCGGUAGGUCAAUCUCACCAACAACUUGUCUUCUAGAUCCAUCAAAAGCUUUCACCACCAAAGCACUAGGCUUCAAACAGGCUCCCUCAACAAAUAGUUUUGAUAGUGUUGAUUUAGGCAUGACAUUUAACGAUGAACCAUUAUCUACUAGCACUCGUGCAAGAAUAUGAUCGUGACACCUCACAGAGAUGUGCAGUGUUUUAUUAUGCUCUGUCCAUUCAACUGGUAAUUCAUUAUCGCUAAAACUCAAGCAACUACUAGCAGUGACGUUACCGACAACUCCAUCAAACUGAUCGACAGUGAUAUCGUGAGUAACAUGGGCUUCGUUUGAAACCUUCAUCAGUGCCCUUCUAUGUGCUUCAGAAUUCAAUAACAAAGAGAGAACUGAUAUCUUGGAAGGGGUUUGAUUUAGCUGAUCCACUACCUUAUAUUCACUUUGCUUGACAAACUUCAAAAAUUCAUUAGCUUCUUCUUUAGACACCGUCUUUUUACUGGUCUCUUGUCCUUUUAUGGCAUGAUACAUAUCUUCUUUCCUUUUUUCUCCAUGAACCUCCUUUUUCUUAAGUUGUUCUGGAGUGUAUACUCAACCACUCCGAGUCAUUCCACCAAUCCCUGAGAUGUUAGUGACAUCAGUUCCUUUAGGUUCACAGCCAUCACUUGGUUGAUGAUUGGCCAAGUGGGAUGUGAUUUCGUAUCUCCAUAGUACCGCCUUGGUAUUUCCGUAAGGAAAAGGGGUUGGUGCUUGGACAAUUAUUGCAUUUGGUCUGCUAGGAGUUGGCUUAAGAUUCUCUUUUUUGUAAAGAAUUUCCAAUGGUUUUGGGAAAGAUAUAUUAUUUUCCACACACGACCCCAUGGUGAACACAUGAACAUCUGUUGCAUGUUGGUCUAUCCCAUCUUCAAUAACAUUGAUAGAGGAAUCUUUGUGGCCCGACAAGGGAUUACUCCCUAUGUUGGGACCAUCCUCUUUGAAGGUAAGCCAUUUUGCAUUAAUUAAUUCCUGCACUUUAGAUUUUAAGGCUCGACAAUCUUCGAUAUAGUGCCCCACAGCUCCUGCGUGGUAUUCACAUUUGGCAUUUGGAUUGUACCAUUUUGGAAAUGGUGGUUCAAGAGGUUUCAUUGGUCUUGGGACUACCAUUGAAUUUUGAAGUAAGUGAGGCAACAAUUGGUUGUACGUGACGGGAAUUGGGUCAAAACGAGUUAUCCUUUUUUCUCAAUUAACAUGUGGUCUGUAGUGGUUCGGAAUUGAAUUUUGGUUCCAUUGAUUUUGAUGGGAAAAUCCGGUAGAUGGUGGCUGAUAAAAAGGUGGUCUUGAAGGGUAAUAUUGAGGGGAUGAAGCUUGUGUGGUUGCGGCCACAUAUGGAUAUGAAAUGUAAGGAGUUUGUGGUAUUGGGGGCUGGAAAUUUGGGGGUCGAUAAGAAUUGAUGGGUGGAAAAUAGGAGACUCUGGGGUUUACCAUUACAGCAUUAGCGUCCCCUUCUUUCUUUUUUGUGAAUGUUGUUUGGGGUCCUUUUAUGCCAAUUGUUGCGCAUACGAUCUUUCCAGUCCUCAUCCCACUUUCUAUCCUUUCUCCUAUCAUGACCAGAUCAGAAAAGUUUGAUGACAUACUCCCAAUCAUCUUAUCAUAAAAAGGAUACUGGAGAGUAUCCAUAAACAUACCAACCAUUUCUCUUUCAGAUAAAGGAGGUUCCACUUGUGAUGCCAUUUCCCUCCACCGCUGUGCAUAUUCUUUGAAAGAUUCAUUGUCUUUUUUCAAUGAAUUUUGCAAUUGCAUCCUAUCAGGGGCCAUGUCAAUGUUGUACCUGUAUUGUUUCAAAAAAAGCAUCGGCCAAGUCUUUCCAUGAAUGGAUUCGAUUUUGAUCGAGAUGCAUAUACCAGCUUAACGAUGCCCCACUCAAACUGUCUUGGAAAAAGUGAAUGAGGAGCUUGUCGUUAUGAGCAUGAGAAGCCAUUUUUCUGCAAUACAUAGUCAGAUGAUUUUUAGGACAUGUAGCGCAUUUGUAUUUUUCAAAGUCGGGAACCUUGAAUUUUGGAGGGAUAGUUACAUCGGGAACCAAACACAUAUCGAAAGCUUCAAGACCAUAAACAUUAUGCCCCGCAAUUGCUUUUAUUCGCUCUCUAAGACGUUGAAUUUUUCCUUUGAUUGUGUAUCAUCCCUAAUGUGAGGUUGAUGCCAAUUCCCAUUAGCAUCGAAAUGGGGUACUUGGGGUGUAAUAUAUGGAAUAUUUUCUGAUGGUACAGCAUUUUGGGGUGGCAGAUAGCCCAUAGGAGAUGGAAUUUGUGAUUGGUUUGGGUUUUAGGGGUUGAUAGUUAAGUGGUUUGGGUUGUUGUCCAUGGGGUUGACGACUAAAGGUGGAGUAUAACUGGGUGGAAGACCGUACAUAGGAAAUUGCAUAGUUGUUGUACGAGGUUGCUAGGUAGUCGGGGUAAAGCCUGGUGGGUGAGAAGCAGUGGUUUGGUGUUCUUCAUUUGCAGCCGGAGGAUUCUCAUUUGUAUUCCCCUUCCUUGACAAAGCAUGUAUGGCUUCUAAGAUUUGAUCAACCUUGUCCUUCAAUUGGUUGACAUCAAUUCUCAUCACCUCUUGAUUUUGCUCCAGUUCUUCCAUGAUCUUUGAGUUUGCACGAGUCCGAUAAGGGUGUCGGGGAAACAGCUUUAUUGAUUUUUUUUUGUUUUUUUUAAAUAAAUAAUUAUGAGUAUGUAUUAAACAUGAAUGGAAUGAAAAUGCAAUUAUUAUCCUUUUUUUUUUACAUUUGGAUGUUGGGGAAUCAUAAGUCUUGCACGAAUUAUUAUGAAAGAAGAAUAUGAGAAUCGAUAAACAAAACAUCAAAUCCUUCAUAGAUAAGAAAAAAGUACAUUGCAUUUAAAUUAAAAAGCUACAUCGACUAUGGUAUUUCAAUUAUCUUUUUCAACAGGACAAUCAAUCUUCUCCUCCAAUUCUUCUACUAAAUGUUUGCAAUAUUCGACGAACUUGUAGACUUUGAUACGAGUGUUGAAUGGAUACAUUACUGCAUCAAUCUCUCUUAGAUGUUUUGGAAUUUUUAUGAUUGCCUGAUUAGCUAGCAUUGCCAAUUUUGAAAAGCAAUCUUUCCAAUGCUUGCCUUUAUCUUCCAACUCUUUAUAAAUCUCUUGUUCUUCAAUUGCCCAAGCAACACCAUGAAACACUCCUCCCAGUAUAUGGUUUCAUCCUUCAAGUCAUUAUAAAUCUUUUCUUGAUAAUCAAUGUAAUUCUUCAACUCACUAGAAGUUUCCAUUUCUACUUUUAGUGCAUCUUGGUGUUUUGAGAGUAAUUCUUCGAUAUCUUCCUUCUGCUGCCUCUCAUUCCUUACUUGACUCUCAUAUUUAACUACUAUUUCUUUCAGUUGUUUCUUUAAAUCUUCAAACUCCCUUUUUAUGUUCUUCUCAGACCUUGCUGAUUUGGUCCACAACUGCUUCCACAUAUAGACUUCUUCAAUAGCUGCAUUCAUUUCUUGUUUUCGCACAUCUAACUCUUCAUUUGCGCCUCUCAAACAAUCUUGUAUGUCAAGUUUAUUUCCUUUUUCAAUUUUCAACCUCUUGUUGCUUCUUUCGAUAAACUGACUUUUACAUGUGUUUUCUAAUCGUAAGUUCUCAUUCUCUUGGGUGACUUUUUCUAACUUCGCUUGCAGCUCUUUUUUUCUCCUCUUCAGAUUUUAGCAAUGAUGCUUUGAGUUCUUCUAUCUCUUUAUUUGCAACAAGGAUAGGUUCAGGCAUUUCUUGAUCAUUUGAGGGUGUACUAUGGAAAGGCAGCUUGAUUUCUUGGACUCUUUUAUUUACCCAUUGUUGAUAGGGUUCUUUUGUGCUGCAACUUCUACAUCCGAGUAUUUUUCCUUUUCUAAUGAUCAACUCCCAAGCUUGGCUUAUCCUUCUCAACAUUGGUGGGUCUACUAUACCCGUAUUGUGCAAAACAAAAGCCUCCAAUGACUUAUCAUCUGGUUUAUCCAACAUGGGGUAGCCGAGUUGUCUCAGAGCUAUCAUUGGAUUGUAAUUAAUACAUCCUUUUGUUCCCAUGAGAGGUACAUUUGGAAAAUCUUCGCAUCAGCAUAUUACCUCUUCCACCCCUUGUUCUCUAUAGUACCAUCAAAUUGUAUCUCCAGUAAGACUAGCUAUACUUUGAGCCCAUUCACGAUUAUUCUUAACCCCAACAUGAUACCCUUUCUUGAACUUGUGAGACACAAACCAAGUAUACAUCACUGGAACACAACACAAAAUUGUUCCCCACUUCUUCUCGUGUCGCAUAUGCAGAGAGUAGUAUACAUCAGCAAGAACCGCAGGAACUGGGUUUUGUUUAUGUUUGUUUAAAGCUAAGAAGACAUUGAUGGCAGCAAAAUCUACAAAAUUAUCAAGGUUUGGAAAUAAAACAAUACCAUAGAUAAUUAGAGCCAAAACAUCUAUAAAAGUACUCCAUUCUUUUUUAGUGGCUAAAUCCUGGCACUUUUGCUCUAGAUAUUUUCUUGAAACACCAUGAAUGACUCUUUUUUCCUCUUUUGUACUUGCCAACUCUCUUAUAUCGAUUUUCAACACUUCAGAAAUUGUAUCCAUACUCGGUGGUUGCCCAGUAUAUCAAUAAGGAUUUCCUUUCUCUAAGGAGUAACCCAAUAUUCGCUCAAAUUCCUCUAAUGUCGGGGUCAACUGAAAGUCUUGGAAUGUGAAACAUCUUAAUAGAGGAUCGUAAUACUGAGCCAAUGCCGUGAGGGCCCCUGUUUGCAUAUUCACUGCCAAGAGAUUUAGAAUUUUACCAUAUUUGUGAAAGAAACUAUCACGUUGUAUAGUUUGAUUUGAUUGUUGAUGUCUAUUAAACUCUUCAAAUUAGGUUGCUUGAACUUUAAAAGUAAAGUUUUUCUUUUUUCUGAUCCCAUUCUCCACUUAAAUAACACGUGACUAAAGUUUGUAUGAUUCCCCAAAAAUCCUGAAAAUUUAUGCAAAAUGCUAUUAUGUUUUAUUUUUCCUUAGAAAGAGAGAAACAAUGUCAUGAGAUAUGAAUGAAACUAAUAUAUAUAUAUAUAUAUAUAUAUAUGAAUAUAUGAGAUAAUUUUUUGGUUUUUAUGGAUAUUCUUACAAUGAAAGGAUCUAUUGGCUUAUGUAGUGAAACUCUCACAAGGGAGGCUCUAUGGUUCUAAACACGGUUCCUAGAGCCAAUAAUCCUCAGGUUGCUUGAACUUUAAAAGUAAAGUUUUUCUUUUUUCCGAUCCCAUUGUCCACUUAAAUAAGACGUGACUAAAGUUUGUAUGAUUCCCCAAAAAUCUUGAAAAUUUAUGUAAAAUGCUAAUAUGUUUUAUUUUUCCUUAGAAAGAGAGAAAAAAAUGUCAUGAGAUAUGAAUGAAACUAAUAUAUAUAUAAACUCUUGAAUAUAUGAGAAAUUUUUUUGGUUUUUAUGGAUAUUCUUACAAUGAAAGGAUAUAUUGGCUUAUGUAGUGAAAUUCUCACAAGGGAGGCUCUAUGGUUCUAAACAUGGUUCCUAGAGCUAAUAAUUCUAUUUUGGAAUAUUGUCAACACCAAUAGUUAAACUAUUUGGAGUGACAAUAACCUCAACAGGAUCAAACUCUAGGUGAGUUUUUCAUGCUAACCAAACUAGAUGUACAUCCAGAAGGCUACCACUACGCAAUCUCGAAACUAAACUUAAGUUUUGUUCAAACUCGGGUAUAAGGUUCCACUCAUAAGUGUGUGUCUUAGUAAAAGUGUAGGUGCUAAAUAAGCAUAAUUCAAUAACUCCAUAAUACUAACAAAACAUAUAUGCAUAUACAAAAUAAAUAAAAUAAAAUAAAGAUAUACUAGCUUAAAAGAAUAUUAUAAUGUCAGCUAAUACUUAUUAAAAAAUAACAAACACAUAAAAGAAAAUAAAAAUGAAAAACAAACAUAUAUAAAAAAUAAAAAAAUAAAAAAAUUUGCACAAUUAAUUUUUAGGCUUGACUCUCAAAAUGUCCCCAGUGGAGUCGCCUGCUGUCGCGGCCUAAAAUUUUGAGUUUUCACCGAGAUUUUGAGUUCGGGAGUCGAUUAUGCGUAGGGAAUGUAUUAGCACCCUACGACAUCCGUUAAAAUACGGUUAUCUUUAAUUAAUUGUGCAAAAUUAUAUCAACUUAAAUAUAUUUUAUUCUUUAUUAUUAAAUAUGAAUAUAAAUUGUUUUUUAUAAAUGUGAUUUUUGAGAUAAAAGUAUGUUAAAAAGAGUAGAAAAAAAGAAAGUUUUUAUUAGUGUGCUUGACAAGAGUGUGAUCUUGCUCCUACGUAUCUCCCGAUACGAUGGAGAAAUUAAAGCUACGUAGUUCUUGGUAGAAAAUGUGGAUGUGUUGAUUGCUUUUAAAUAAAUUUUAUUUUUGUUAUUAAAAAGUUAAAUUUGAGGAAUAUAAAUAAAAAACUUGUUUGAUUUGAAUAAUUAUUUUAAAAUUUAAAUUUUAAGACGAUCGAGUUUACAACGCGUGUCUCAAAACUCAAGGAGUAAAAAGAUGUCACAUCUAAUUUAACCCUCUUAAGAAUAUUUUAUUAUUUUUAAAAUAGAGUUUCAAGAAGACCAAAUAGUACGACUUGUGUCUUAACAAUUUCAAGAUUAAAAACAAAUCUUCUUAAAUUUUAAAAGGGUUGACUUUUAAUCUAUUCAUUUAUAAAAAUAAAUUUUAAAGCUAUCAAAAUAUAUAAUUUGUUUAUGCAACUCAGGGAUCAAAAUGUCAUUUUUAAUUAACUUUAAAUAAUUUUUAUUAUUAAUUUGUUUAUGAUUUUUAGUUUAUUUAUUUGUGAAUAUGAGAUUUAGAACCAUCAAAUUAUCACAAUUUGUGUCCUAAUAACUCAAAGAUUAAAAAGAUGUCACAUCUAGUUGAUUUUUAAUGAAAUAUUUGUUAUUAUUUUAUUUAUUAUUUUAAAAAAGAUAUUAAAUAUUAAACAAGUUUUAACAAAAAUUCAAAAUAAAAUUAGUAAUAAACGCGAGAAUAAAAUAGCAAAAAGAAAAAUAUCUGGACUUUAACUUAAUCUAAAAAAUAUUUUGAAACUAAUUACAAAUAUAAUCCCCUUUUAAACUAUUUUUCUUUUUAAUUUAAUAAGUGAAGAAAUAAAAAUUAUUUUAAUAUUAAAUAGCACCAUCCAAAAAAGAAAAAUCUAUUAUAAUAUGAAAUAAAUUAUAUUUAUUGUCAUUUAAUUAUAUCUAUAAUUACUUAUAUUAAUUAGAAUUAUUAUGAUUAAAUGAAAUAACUAUCAUGAAGAUUUGGAAGAGAAAGAAAAAGUCCAUUGAUCACACACAACUAUUAUUAAAUAAAUCUAUAUUUAAUAGGACUAUUAUUAUUAUUAUUAUUAUUAUUAUUAUUAUUAUUAUUAUUAUUAUUAUUAUUAUUAUUAUUAUUAUUAUUAUUAUUAUUAUUAUUAUUAUAUUAUUAUUAUUAUUAUUAUUAUUAUUAUUAUUAUUAUUAAAUGUGAUAGAACUAAAUAGUCAAUGUGAAAUAGUUGGCAGUCUGGCGUGAAUAUAGAUAAGGCACGCGUACGAUGCAUUAGACAAAACAGACAAAUUUCAAAAGACCAACAAGCAAAUUUCAAAAGGGGCUUAGCAAAACAAGUUUCAGCGUAGCAACAAACAGAUUCCAUACAUCAGAAAUUAUUCACAAACAGAAAUUAUUCUCAGAUAUUGAACAAGAGAGCAAAGAAUGGGAAAAUACCCUUUUCGUGUUGUUGUUAGAAUUGGCUUGAAGUCUAUGGUUGAUGGAAAGCAAUCUGAUGGUAGAUCUUCUUUUCUUUUCUUUGUGGUAACACUCUCUCUUUCUAUUGUUUUUUAGAAACAGAAAAAGCAAGAAAUGAAAAAUCUCCCAAUUUUUAUCUUGUGAUUGUUUUUCUGAUCUCUCCUCCUCUUUUGAUUUUUUUUCUUCCAAUAUAUAGGCUAAAACGAGGAAGGGUUGUGUUCAUCGUAUAAAUUAAGUUCUUGAUUUAACCUUGUUUGGCAACCACGUCAAGCAAACAGCUACAAUUAAGGAAACUAGGGGCCGGUCCUUUUUGAUUGAGUAUUCAAUAUGAUAAAAUUAAUACCAUUAUUAGAUUGAAAAAUAAUAAAAUUAAAAUAAAAUGAACAGAUAGAGUGCAAAGAAAGCACGUGAGUAAGCAGGAAACAUGGUUCUGUACACGGCACACCUCACACUCGCAACAAAGCAUCUAAAGACAGGGUGGGACUUCCUUUUUUAUUUUUUUUAUUUUGUUGUAUUUUUAAUGUUAAAUGUAUUACAAUUUUUAGACAAAUAUACUUUUUAUUUGAAUUAUGUACAAAAUUGAGGUAUCACAUUGAGCACUUUACAGUGUUUGAGAAACGAUCCAAGGGUUCAAUAUGUCAGGAUUAAGUGAAGAAGCUGCUGGAAGAAACAUAAACAGACCACAUAUGUUUGAUGGAGAACGUUUUGUGUAUUGGAAAAACAGACUGAGAAGUUUCUAUAUUUCACAAGAUCCUGAACUUUGGGACUUGGUGAAAGAUGGUUAUAUUGCUCCGAAGAAUACUUAUAAUAUUGAUUUUCCAAGAAAGAAGAUGAAUGAUGAUCAGAUGAAGAUGUACAAGAUGCAUCAUAAGUCCAGAACAUUCAUGAUAAAUGCAAUCACCUUCAAGGUGUUUGACAAGUGCACCAACAAAGAGACAACAAAGAGUAUUUAUGAUAGUCUGAUUUUGACCUAUGAAGGAAGCAAGCAAGUUCAAGAAGCAAAGGCCAACCUCCUAGUCAAAAAGUAUAAGUUGUUCAAGAUGGAAGAAGAUGAAGACAUUGAAACAAUGUUUUCCAGAUUUCAGACCCUGGUCUCAGGAUUCAAGGUACUUAAGAAGAGUUAUACUACUACUGAUCAUGUGAAAAAUAUUAUUAGGAGUUUGACAAGAAAAUGUAGACCUAAGAUCAUUGCCAAUCUAGAAGCAAAGGAUUUGAAUACUCUUAAGGUGGAAGAAUUAAUAAGCUCUCUCAGAUCACAUGAAAUUGAGCUUGUAGAGGAUGAGCCCAAGAAGAAGCAACCAACUGUGGCUUUGAAAUCCAAGCAGAAGAAAUUUCUGAAGGCAACAAUAGAACCAGAGGAUGAUGAUUCAGAUUAUCAGAAUGAAGACUUAGAGGAAGAGCAGCCGUUGUUUAUAUGCAGAAAAGUUCAGAAGUUAUGGCAUAAUAGAAUGACGAAAUUUCCCCAAAGAUAUUCCAUGCAAUCCAACAAAAGAAAUGAUGAUAAAUAUGACAAGAAAAGCAUAAUCUGCUAUGGAUGCAAUGAAUCUAGACAUAUCAAGUUAGAAUGUCCAAAUAUGGAGAAAUGGUAUGGAAAGAAGCAAGUAUGCAUUUAUGAUUUGUGGUGUUAGUAGUAAUGAUAAAAGAGGAAUAUGAUUUCAAGAAAAAGUAAUUGAACCUAAGUUUGUUCCUUCUCAUGAUUUAUGUAUUAUUUGCUAUAAGAAAUGUCACACUAAAAUAUCUUGUCCAAUGCUAACCACAUGGAAAGGCAAGAAACCUUUAAGAACUAACAAAUAAGGACUGAUGACUCUUCAUCAUAUGCAUAUUUUCCCACUGUUUUAGUCUUAUUUAUCCUCAAUCAUCAGUUAAAUUAAGGAUUUAUUUGAUACAUUUUGUUGAUUUUUGUUCUUUGAGUUAAUAAAAUGUUUUUUGUUUUUAUUUCGUUGAUUAAGUAGGAAUUUGUCGUAAUUUUACAUUGCGUUUUGUUUUAGUGCAGUGCUGAAUUUUGGUGAAGAAUCAACAUGAUAUAUGUGGAGUAGUUUAGCCAUAUCUGGAGUUCUAG